rnacentral:lncRNA from 1 species
CACACAUAUCCGCCGCCGCCGCCGCCGCCGUCGCCGUCAGCUGAUCAAAUGUAAACAAAACGGACCUAGGCGGCGAGACAUUUGAAAGAAAUAGCCUCACUGUUUUCACUUCUGCUGGCUAUAUAUUCCACAGUCACUCUUUUUCGUGAUUCCUGAAGUGGAAGAGGAGAAAAGAAAAGGCACGAUGGAGGAAGUUGGAGAAAAUUUGUCAGUUUUAAGUAAACUGGUGGAUAUAGUUAUAGAAACUGGGAGAAGAGAAGAGGCCGCUGUGUUCCAGGUGUAGUAGGAGCCAGUUCCUUUUUGUCACCAUGUAUCUCAGCUGAAAAUGAUGCAUCUGUGGCUCAGCUGCAUAGACAGUGUAGAUGCGCUCAAAGAGGAAGUUGUGUCUAUGAGAGAGGUGGAACCAUCCGCUGACUGGGGGUUUGUAGUGCACAUAGAUUUGGUUGGUGCCCCAGCAACCACAAGUAUUACCCACCACUGCAGGAGCCAGUUCCCUUUUCUUUUCAUGUACCUCAGCUGAAAAUGAUGCAUCUGUGUCUCAGCUGUAGCUGUAUCAACUGUGUAUCUACGCUCAAAGAGAAAUCCCCGUUUGUGGUGGAACCAGCCACUGACAGGGGGUUUGUACUGCACGUAGACUUCAUUGGUGCCCCAGCAACCACAGUUGUUACCCACCACUGCAGGUGAGGGUCAAGGUCUUUUCACCACAGCUGGUUGGGAGUUAGUUCAUCACGCGUAACAAGUUUAAAAAUUCCUUCAGAAAUAUAUGGCGUGACUAAACCAAACACUAAUGUUCUACUUCAAGGACACAAGAGAGUUGGAAACUCACAUAGGGCAACGAAAACUGUUGAAUAAAAAGGCCUACUGAGAUGCCAGUUCCCGAAGAGGAUCGAGACUCGAGAGAGUUUGCCAAAAGAGUAAGAUAAAUUUCUUGAAACUUCCCUCUUGAAUUAAUUCAAGUCCUAAGUAGGUGAAAAUACAGAAGCAGUGAAUUCUGAGGUUUACCAGAGAAAGGGAUAAAUAACUGAGAGGAUUCCUGACUUUCAACUCUACCUUGACUAAUCACCUGUGGGCCGGCCUUGCAAGCCAAAGGUCCUCACUGUGUUGAGUGUUCCAGUGAUAGCAGUUUAACAAAAAGGAAAGGGCGCUCCUUCCCUUCUUCGGUAUUAUCGCAUUUAUACUAGUAUGUCAUAAGUUCAGUAGCUGUAUACUUGUGAGUUGUAGCCUGCAUGGUGUUUAAUAACAAUUAUCAUGAUAAUAACAAAUUAUUAUUAUUAUUAUUAUUAUUAUUAUUUAUUUAUU